CCUACGGGUGGCAGCAGUAGGGAAUAUUGCACAAUGGGGGAAACCCUGAUGCAGCGACGCCGCGUGGAGGAUGAAGGUUUUCGGAUUGUAAACUCCUUUUGUUAGAGAAGAUAAUGACGGUAUCUAACGAAUAAGCACCGGCUAACUCCGUGCCAGCAGCCGCGGUAAUACGGAGGGUGCAAGCGUUACUCGGAAUCACUGGGCGGAAAGAGCGCGUAGGCGGGAUAGCAAGUCAGAUGCGAAAUCCUAUGGCUUAACCAUAGAACUGCAUUUGAAACUGGUAUUCUAGAGUAUGGGAGAGGUAGGUGGAAUUCUUGGUGUAGGGGUGAAAUCCGUAGAGAUCAAGAGGAAUACUCAUUGCGAAGGCGGCCUGCUAGAACAUAACUGACGCUGAUGCGCGAAAGCGUGGGGAGCAAACAGGAUUAGAUACCCGGGUAGUC
rnacentral:rRNA from 1 species